AUUGAACGCUGGCGGCAGGCCUAACACAUGCAAGUCGAGCGGAUGAAGGGAGCUUGCUCCUGGAUUCAGCGGCGGACGGGUGAGUAAUGCCUAGGAAUCUGCCUGGUAGUGGGGGAUAACGUCCGGAAACGGGCGCUAAUACCGCAUACGUCCUGAGGGAGAAAGUGGGGGAUCUUCGGACCUCACGCUAUCAGAUGAGCCUAGGUCGGAUUAGCUAGUUGGUGGGGUAAAGGCCUACCAAGGCGACGAUCCGUAACUGGUCUGAGAGGAUGAUCAGUCACACUGGAACUGAGACACGGUCCAGACUCCUACGGGAGGCAGCAGUGGGGAAUAUUGGACAAUGGGCGAAAGCCUGAUCCAGCCAUGCCGCGUGUGUGAAGAAGGUCUUCGGAUUGAAAAGCACUUUAAGUUGGGAGGAAGGGCAGUAAGUUAAUACCUUGCUGUUUUGACGUUACCAACAGAAUAAGCACCGGCUAACUUCG
rnacentral:rRNA from 1 species